rnacentral:rRNA from 1 species
UACGGGGGGAGCAAGCGUUGUUCGGAUUUACUGGGCGUAAAGAGCUCGUAGGCGGUUUGUCGCGUCGGCCGUGAAAACUUGGGGCUUAACCCCAAGCCUGCGGUCGAUACGGGCAGACUUGAGUUCGGCAGGGGAGACUGGAAUUCCUGGUGUAGCGGUGAAAUGCGCAGAUAUCAGGAGGAACACCGGUGGCGAAGGCGGGUCUCUGGGCCGAUACUGACGCUGAGGAGCGAAAGCGUGGGGAGCGAACAGG